rnacentral:lncRNA from 1 species
AAACUAUACAACGUUGAAAAAAGAAAUUGAAGACACAAGAAGAUGGAAAGACCUCCCAUGUUCAUGGAUAGGCAGAAUUAAUAUCAUUUAAAAGACCAUACUACCAAAAGCAACAUACAGAUUCAAUGCAAUCCCCACCAAAACUAGAAAAAACAGUCCUAAAAUUCAUUUAUAUGACUAAAAGACUCAGAUUAUUCCAAAUAAUGUUAAGCCAAAAAAGCAAUGCUGGAGAGGCAUCACAAUACCUGACUUCAAAUUAUGCUACAGAGCUAUUGUAACAAAAAUUGCUUUAGUGGUAUAAAAACAGACACAUAAACCUAUGGUACAAAAUAGAAGACACAGAGACAGACCCAUAUAUCUACAAUCAUCUGAUCCUUGACAAAAGUGCCCAAAACAUACAUUUGAGAAAAGAUAGCUUUUAAACAAAUGGUGCUGGGAAUCCUGGUUAUCCAUUGGUUAUCACUCUGCAGAAAAGUCAACUUGAAAUGAAUAAAAAACCUAGGAAUUAAACCAGAAACCAUGCAACUCCUGGAAGAAAACAUAGGGUCAACCUUUCAAUAUAUAGGUGUAGGCAACAGUUUUCUCAAUAGAACCCCUAAAGCUCAGGAAAUAGUGGUAAGAGUUAAUAAAUAGGAUGGCAUCAAAUUUUAAAAGCCUCUGCACAGUAAAACAAGAAUUUGAUGUGAACAAAAACCUACACAAUGGGGAAAAAAAAAAUCUUUGUUAGCUUCUUUG